CAGGUUGAAGGUGCGGUAAAACGCACUGGAGGACCGAACCAGGGCACGUUGAAAAGUGCUUGGAUGACUUGUGGGUAGCGGAGAAAUUCCAAACGAACUUGGAGAUAGCUGGUUCUCUCCGAAAUAGCUUUAGGGCUAGCGUCGACAUUAGAGAUUCUUGGAGGUAGAGCACUGUUUGGGUGAGGGGUCCAUCCCGGAUUACCAAUCUCAGAUAAACUCCGAAUGCCAAUGAAUUAUGGUCGGCAGUCAGACUGCGAGUGCUAAGAUCCGUAGUCGAAAGGGAAACAGCCCAGACCACCAGCUAAGGUCCCAAAAUAAUUGUUAAGUGGAAAAGGAUGUGGGGUUGCACAGACAACUAGGAUGUUAGCUUAGAAGCAGCUAUUCAUUCAAAGAGUGCGUAAUAGCUCACUAGUCGAGUGACCCUGCGCCGAAAAUGUACCGGGGCUAAAACAAUUUACCGAAGCUGUGGAUACCUUUAUAGGUAUGGUAGGAGAGCGUUCUAUGUGUGGAGAAGGUGUACCGUGAGGAGCGCUGGAACGCAUAGAAGUGAGAAUGCCGGUAUGAGUAGCGAAAGACAGGUGAGAAUCCUGUCCACCGUAAGACUAAGGUUUCCAGGGGAAGGCUCGUCCGCCCUGGGUUAGUCGGGACCUAAGGAGAGACCGAAAGGUGUAUCCGAUGGACAACAGGUUGAUAUUCCUGUACUAGAGUAUGUAGUGAUGGAGGGACGCAGUAGGCUAACUAAAGCAGACGAAUGGAAGUGUCUGUCUAAGCAGUGAGGUGUGAAUUGAGUUAAAUGCUUAGUUCUAUAACAUUGAGCUGUGAUGGGGAGCGAAGUUUAGUAGCGAAGUUAGUGACGUCACACUGCCAAGAAAAGCUUCUAGCGUUUAAACAUACUCUACCCGUACCGCAAACCGACACAGGUAGUCGAGGCGAGUAGCCUCAGGUGAGCGAGAGAACUCUCGUUAAGGAACUCGGCAAAAUGACCCCGUAACUUCGGGAGAAGGGGUGCUGGCUUUAAGUCAGCCGCAGUGAAUAGGCCCAAGCAACUGUUUAUCAAAAACACAGCUCUCUGCUAAAUCGUAAGAUGAUGUAUAGGGGGUGACGCCUGCCCGGUGCUGGAAGGUUAAGAGGAGUGCUUAGCGCAAGCGAAGGUAUGAAUUGAAGCCCCAGUAAACGGCGGCCGUAACUAUAACGGUCCUAAGGUAGCGAAAUUCCUUGUCGGGUAAGUUCCGACCCGCACGAAAGGCGUAACGAUUUGGGCACUGUCUCAACGAUGGACUCGGUGAAAUCAUAGUACCUGUGAAGAUGCAGGUUACCCGCGACAGGACGGAAAGACCCCAUGGAGCUUUACUGCAGUUUGAUAUUGAGUGUCUGUGCCACAUGUACAGGAUAGGUAGGAGCCAAUGAGAUCGGGACGCCAGUUUCGAUGGAGGCGAUGUUGGGAUACUACCCUUGUGUUAUGGCCACUCUAACCCGGAUAGGUGAUCCCUAUCGGAGACAGUGUCUGACGGGCAGUUUGACUGGGGCGGUCGCCUCCUAAAAGGUAACGGAGGCGCCCAAAGGUUCCCUCAGAAUGGUUGGAAAUCAUUCGCAGAGUGUAAAGGUAUAAGGGAGCUUGACUGCGAGAGCUACAACUCGAGCAGGGACGAAAGUCGGGCUUAGUGAUCCGGUGGUUCCGCAUGGAAGGGCCAUCGCUCAACGGAUAAAAGCUACCCUGGGGAUAACAGGCUUAUCUCCCCCAAGAGUCCACAUCGACGGGGAGGUUUGGCACCUCGAUGUCGGCUCAUCGCAUCCUGGGGCUGUAGUCGGUCCCAAGGGUUGGGCUGUUCGCCCAUUAAAGCGGUACGCGAGCUGGGUUCAGAACGUCGUGAGACAGUUCGGUCCCUAUCCGUCGCGGGCGUAGGAAAUUUGAGAGGAUCUGUCCUUAGUACGAGAGGACCGGGAUGGACAUACCGCUGGUGUACCAGUUGUUCCGCCAGGAGCAUCGCUGGGUAGCUAUGUAUGGAUGAGAUAAACGCUGAAAGCAUCUAAGCGUGAAACUCGCCUCAAGAUGAGAUUUCCCAUUCCUUAUGGAAGUAAGACCCCUCAGAGAUGAUGAGGUAGAUAGGAUGGAAGUGGAAGUGCCGCGAGGCAUGGAGCGGACCAUUACUAAUCGGUCGAGGACUUAACCAA
rnacentral:rRNA from 1 species